GCCUUCAGAUUUAGAGUGGAAAUAUACUGUCAUCUCUCCUGUGUCUCCAGCUUUCCAUGUGACCAUAGAACCUCUCAGACUCCAUAAUCAUAGAAAACUCCAAGUAUUUUUUGCAAGGAAAAGUUGAUGAUACUGAUGAUGAUGGUGAUGGUGAUGGUGGUACUGAUUAGAGUGCUGAUGGUAGUAGUCCUGUAACUUGAACAAGGUUACAGGACAAGUAGAAUAUGGCAGAGAUGGAAUUUGAACCCAAGCAAUCAAAUUCAAAAGACUAUACUCUAAAGCAAUGGCACUCAGGGAGUGAUCCAUCAGUGCCUGUGCACAACAAGGUCCACAACCUGGCAUUUAGUGGUAGGCCUGGAGCUGCUCUUGGUCAACAGUGUCAGAAGUUGGGAAGAAGAGCUGCAUAUCAAGCAGAAGAGAAUGAGAAGAAACAGGAACCCACUUCUGCAUCUGUCUAUAGCAACAUCUGACUAUAACGACCUUCAAAAGAUAAUGGCUGUUGCUUCAUUUCCAACCCUCCAAAUCUCAAGUAGCCUUGUGAUUACAUUGGGCUUACCCAGAUCCAGAUCAUCUAGGAUAAUCUCUCUACCCAAGAUCUUUAAUGUAAUCACACCUGCAAAGUCCCUUUUGGGAAGAAAGGUUGUAGAGAAGGUACUGUUCCCAUUGAAAUCAGUAACGGCCAUGUGACCUGAUUCGACUCAUGAAAUGUUGAAAAUGUGGCAGAUGUGUAUGGAGAAUGAGAAAAUUCCUGUUAUAAUAGAGAUGACUUAAAUUAUGAGGAUGGUAAAGAAGAGGAAAUGUUUUCUGUCCUUUCAAGACGUCAAAGCUUAAUUGAACAUGUUUUUAAAAAUGAAAAUAAAAAUCUCAGUGCAAAGAAUACAUUUACUUCUCUAGUAGAGACUAUUAAUUGCAG
rnacentral:lncRNA from 1 species